GAUGAAGAACGUAGCGAAAUGCGAUAAGUAAUGUGAAUUGCAGAAUUCAGUGAAUCAUCGAAUCUUUGAACGCACAUUGCGCCCGCCAGUAUUCUGGCGGGCAUGCCUGUCCGUGCGUCAUUUCAACCCUCGGGCCCCCCUCUGCGGGCGGCCCGGCGUUGGGGCUCAGGCGCCGUCUCUGCUCGGCGCCUGUCCCCUAAAUGCAGUGGCGGCCUCGCCGCUGCCUCCUCCGCGUAGUAGCACAAACCUCGCGGCUGGAAGGCGGCGCGGCCACGCCGUAAAACCCCCCAACUUUACCAAGGUUGACCUCGGAUCAGGUAGGAAUACCCGCUGAACUUAAGCAUAUCAAUAAGCGGAGGA
rnacentral:misc_RNA from 1 species